rnacentral:lncRNA from 13 species
CACACUACCACUGAUUGUCCCUCAAUGUGUAUUGUGUAAUCAGCUCACUACAAACAUAGUAGAACAACAGUUCACUUCUAACUGUAGAAACUGGUUUAACUUCUAACUGUAGAAACUGGUUUAACUUCUACUGUAGAAACUGGUUUAACUUCUAACUGUAGAAACUGGCUUCACUUCUACUGUAGAAACUGGUUUAACUUCUAACUGUAGAAACUGGUUUAACUUCUAACUGUAGAAACUGGCUUCACUUCUAACUGUCGAAACUGGUUUAACUUCUAACUGUAGAAACUGGCUUCACUUCUAACUGUAGAAACUGGCUUCACUUCUAACUGUAGAAACUGGCUUCACUUCUACUGUAGAAACUGGCUUCACUUCUAACUGUAGAAACUGGCUUCACUUCUACUGUAGAAACUGGCUUCACUUCUAACUGUAGAAACUGGCUUCACUUC